AAUAAGGGCUUCUGUCGUGAGUGGCACAUGUAGGGCAACUAGAUUGCUCCGUGUGCGGAAUUGACAUCAAGAGAUAUCCGAAAGCUUAGUUUUUUUGUUCCUGGGUAGCUGGUGAUAGUUGGUCCCAGCACCUGC